UGCACACUGAGAAUGUAACUGGCUCGCUCA
rnacentral:piRNA from 1 species